rnacentral:rRNA from 1 species
CAAUAGCGUAUAUUAAAGUUGUUGCAGUUAAAAAGCUCGUAGUUGGAUUUCUGGCAGGAGCGACCGGUCACACACUCUGUGUGUGAACUUGCGUUGUCUCUGGCCAUCCUUGGGAAGAUCCUGUUUGGCAUUAAGUUGUCGGGCAGGGGAUACCCAUCGUUUACUGUGAAAAAAUUAGAGUGUUUAAAGCAGGCUUAUGCCGUUGAAUAUAUUAGCAUGGAAUAAUAAGAUAGGACUUCGGAACUAUUUUGUUGGUUUGCGUUACGAAGUAAUGAUUAAUAGGGACAGUUGGGGGUAUUCGUAUUUCGUUGUCAGAGGUGAAAUUCUUGGAUUUCCGAAAGACGAACUACUGCGAAAGCAUUUACCAAGGAUGUUUNCAUUA